UUAUAAAAAAAAAUAAAUUACUUUUAUACUCUGUGCUGUCUUCAUUGAUGCCUCUGAGUGAAAGCUUGUUAUGCCUCUAGUUGAAACAGCAUGUGUGCUGACCUUUCCUUUAUUUAUACCCACUCCCUCCUCUUUUUUUUUUUUAAUAUAGUGCAUGGCGUAUGACCAAAAAAAAAGUGCUAUAUACUGUAAAUAUUAAGCAUUGUGUGUUUCGUAUCAGGGUGAAAGUGAACUUUUAUUUAAUGUAUACUAGUGCUGGCAUUGGGAAUCGUGAACCUCUGGCCAGAUACUUUAAAGAUCAGCCAUGUGGAUACAAAAUUUUGCUCUUGAAUGUACAACAUUGCUACAUGUUUUCAUUUACAUUUUGCUGUGUGGAUUCAGUGUUGUUGUUUUUUACAUUAAACAAAAUGUUUCGUACUUUGUAAAUGGUUUAAUUCAUGUGACAUUUUUGUCUCAUCGGCAAGCUGUGAAAGUGGACAAACUUCUGCUUUAUACAAAGAAGAUUCCCAUUUCAUGUCAUGUUUAUGAUUUUAUUAUUUUUUUUUUACAUUGAGGAAAGUGAGAUUUCCUGGUAAAGAUGCAAUAUGUAAAACUAAUGCAGAAGAAUUGUCUUCGUGGAAAGUUCAUGUUUUUUUUUUAAUUGAAGUUUUUAAAAAUAAGAUGUCUCAGCCGCCAAUGAUGCAUUUUGAUUGUAAAAUUAACUAAUUUCUUUUUAGUUCCAUGUAUUUAUUUAUCAUGUUAGAAUGGGUUAAUAGAGCAUAGUUCCUUCCUUUUCUUUGAAUUGUUUUUUUAAUACGGAAGGAAAUUGAUCAAAGUGAAUGAAUUAGUUCACAUUGAAAUGCUCUAGCAGAAAAACAAACAAACACUGCGUCUGCUUGUCCAGUUUGCAUGAAUUUUCAGAAAUUGGUGAUUGUAAUUUUAUUUUCAUGAAUGGCAGGUUUUCCAUAUUUUCAUGAUGUUUAAUAGAGUAGGGGGAAAAUAUCAUUGAAAAUAAACUGCAUCCUCUUUUUUUUUUUUUUUUAUUA